rnacentral:rRNA from 1 species
GGCUGCAACUCGCCUACCAUGAAGUCGGAAUUGCUAGUAAUCGCGGAUCAGCAUGCCGCGGUGAAUACGUUCCCGGGCCUUGUACACACCGCCCGUCACACCAUGGGAGUCGGUAACACCCGAAGCCUGUAGUCUAACCGCAAGGGGGACGCAGUCGAAGGUGGGAUUGAUGACUGGGGUGAAGUCGUAACAAGGUACC